ACUACUGAGUUUCUCUGUGUAAGUCUUAAUUGUGUUUGUCCUUCAAGACAUAUAGCAUAUGCAAUGUUUUAGAGUAUGAUAGAGCAGAGGAAGACUAAGAGAGCCCUGGUGAAGUCCCAGAUGUGACAGAGCUUCAAGUCUGGAUGCAACUACUAGAAAUUUGUUGAGCUGAUACUCUAGAAAUAUUUUUUUUUAAUUUCACCUAAACUUAGUCUGCCUCUAUAAAACUGAUUUACAUUAAAUGAUUUUAUAAGCAAAUCAGAUAAGUCAGAUGUCAAUUUAGGAAAGGGAAUAUUUCAUUAAAAAAUGCAGGUCAGUUAUUUACAUUCAGGAUUUGGCACACUUUUCCAGGGAGAAUAUCUACUCCAGUAUCACUCCAUGAAGUCAGGGUCUGUGUGUAAUAUUUGUCAAAUGUCUCAGAGUGGAACACUGUACAUUGCACUAAAAGUUGUCAUUGUUGCCAUCAUUUUCUUCAUUGUCAUCACCUUUCCCCUUCUCUUCUACUUCUCCUCUGCUUUCUAUUCCUACUUUUUAUCUCAAUGUAAGGAAACUAAAUAAAUUACACAGAAUCUGUUGAAAUUUUUAAACAAGAUUUAUUUAUUUAUUUGAAAGGGAGAGGGGAUGGGGUCGGGGGGGGAGAGAGAGAAACAGAGAGAGAGAGAGAGAGAGAGAGAGAAACAGAAACAGAGAUCCUCUACUGGUUCACCCCUCAAAUGACCACAACAUUCAGAUCUAGGCAAGGUUGAAACCAGGCGUCAGCAACUCUGUUCUGGUUUCCCACGUGGGUGUCAGUGGCCCAUGUACUUGAAUAAUUUUUUGUUGCCUUUCCAGGCACAUUAGCAGGAAGCUAGAUUGUAAGGGUAGCAGCUGAGAACUGAACCUGAAUUUCUAUAAAAGAUGCCAGUGUAACAAGUGGUGGCUUAAUCCAUUGCACCACAAUGCCAGUUCCUCUCUAACUAAAAAAAUUCCUUAAUUUUAUUUAUUUGAAAGGCAGAGAGACAGCAAGACACAGAGACAGAUAGAUAGAGAUAGAGAUAGUCUACCCACUAGUUCACUCCUCAAAUGUCCCCAAUAGCUAGGGCUGAGCCAGGUCAAAGUCAAGA
rnacentral:lncRNA from 1 species